GGAUUUUUUUCCUCAUUGGGAGUCUGUCCAAAAAAAAUCAUGAUUUUAAGUUUACCAUUUCAUGCCUUUUUGCACUUUUGUUUUUGAGUCAAAACUGAUAAACCGAAUGAUCCUUUAAAAUAAUCCAGUUCCGGUUUGUUUGUUUUUUGUUUUUUUGACAUAACCCAUCAGUCACUAAUUGUCCACAUUUUCCACCUCCACCUUACAGCUGAUACCAGAACCUAGACAUUCAUUGGCUAAAUCUUCUAAUCAAAAUGCCAGUGUGUUCAAAGAAUUGUUUUGCAUGAUUAUAAUCUAGUCCCCAACAAGAAUUAAUCAGGUUUAAAAUGUGGUGAAGUCAAGGGCUAAUGUGAUGGGCAUUUUUUGAAAAUACCUAUUUUUACCCAGCAAUCCUCUGUCCUGUUGCCUUUGCUUUCACUCUGACACCGACCAGAGUGAACCUGACCCUGACACCAGCUCCUGCCCAGCACGCACCAGUCCUGAACACUGAACUCUCUUCCUGUCCAUAUGUGUUCCUCUUAUUUGCCACGUAGAUAUACAGUCAGGAAAUCUAAGAUCCGUACACUUCAGAGCGGCUCUCUGCAUUCAGGUUAAGCUUGGGUGUAGUUGAUCACAAUCGUUUAGGCCCAGAUAUAGGAUGUUGCUCUUGAAUCUGGUCCAGAGGUAGAGAGAGAAUCUAGAAGAAAGCCCAAAGACUCUUACCAGUUAGUGCACACACAUCCCUUUAAUAAGGAGACUGAAGACUGAGCCCCUGUUUUUAGUCACCACUGAAUCUGUCAAUGACAGAAGGACAUGUGAAAGGGCCAUGGUGAAAUUUUUUUUUAAAUACUUUUAAGUUUAGUUUUGUUCACUGGGGAUUAUGGUCAAAAAAAGUUUCAAAAGCAACACUCACCUUUAUAAGCUACUCUAUUUGUACUCUGAAUGUUAGAGUCAGCCAAUCGAAAUGUGUUUGAAUGCUUUCAUGUCUUUAUUUUUAUUUUCUCUACUCGUGGGAUUUUUUAUUUUUUUAAAUGGACAGAAAUUAUGCCAUUUGGACCUAUGUGCUCCAUACCAGACUAAACAAACACUCUCCUCUUCUAUAUUUAGAAUAGUAGAACCACAGCAACUGGACUUGAUUUGGAAUUUUUAAAUCCUAGCAGUUUCAACCUCUGGCAAAAAUGAUGGAAUAACCACACUCGGAGGAUAUUCACACAGAUUUAUUUUUUUUAUUUAUUUAUUUUUACUUUAUGGUAAAUAAACGAAUCACAAAACUAUUUUUGUUUAAUAGCUGAACAUUCUGGUUUCUUGAAACAUGAACUCAAAUUAAUGACCACCUGAAUUAUCUGAGACACGCGCUUUACUAAUAAAACAAUAUUCUCCAUUAAGCUGGUUCCAACUUUCACGAACAAAUUGAAAAAAAAAAAAAUCCACCAUGCUUUUUCAGUCAGAUUGAGAUCUAGAAUGUUUGUUGGCUGAUUAAGUUAUGUCUUUCCUGAAAAAAGAAAAGAAAAGAAAUCCAAAAUAGUGAUUUCAUUUUUUUUUUCCUGUACUUGAUGUAGAAGACCAUUAGCUAUUAAUUAAAAUAAUUUAAUUUGUUUGCUUCACAAAGCCAGAAUAUUAUAAUAUUAUUAAACAAUAACAUUAAAAAUUGUUUAAUUACUGUAUAUAAAUAUAUAUGCUAUCAUUUUUGCCAGGGAUUGUAGGCUAGAUUUUAGAAUUCUAGAAUCCUAUCACAUUUAGAUUCUAGCUGAUUUUUAGCGGAUUUAGAAUGUAAUAACCCAAAAAUUAUAAAAUAACAAUAAUUCUAGAAUCCCAUCACUUUUAUAACUCUAGCUUCCCAUCAAAAUGGCUAGAAUUGGAAUUCUAGAAUUCCACCAGCUCAGCUAGAUAUAGAAUAGUAGAGUCACUUGAAUGGUGUCUAGAUGCUCGUCUUUCAAGCACAGACUUUAAAAACUCAUAACUUCAGAAACAUAUUGCAGAGCCUGAGAUGAGAUGUUCUUCUCAGACCAUCUGCGAAAAUGAACCAAGACUACAAAGAGCGAGAGCACAAUGUCACUGCAAUCAGAACUGUAUUGGAUUUAAGAGAUUUUUUGUAUCUUUGUUACUGUGUCUUAUCUUUUCACUGGCCAUUUUCAGUGCUUUCAUUAGUUUGCUGCUCCCGCCAUUGCUGCUGCUGUUAUGCUGCUUCUCUUCUUCUGCACUUUUUGUUUUGCCUGUCUGUCCAUCCUCCAUCCUUGCACCAUCCUGGUAAAUAAUCACCACAAUUUGUUUCUGUCUUAAAGGAAGAGCUUUCUGACGUUUUCUACUGUCCAAGGAGUUUGCAUGUUACUCGAGCUGAAUCUGUGCCUAUCGAUCGUGUUGUUGUUUUUUUUGAGCAAUGUAGGAACCCACUUGCACUCUUAAAGUUCCCACCUUAGCUGUGCCUCACUUCCAAUGGUGCUUUCUUCUUCUGUGUAAUGUUGUUUUUUGUUUUGUUUUGUUUUGUUUUUGCGUUUAUUUGUAAGGUGCUGUAAAUAAAGUUAGUCUGUAUGCACAUAUCCUACCCAAUGGGUAGAAACCACAAAAAAGACAUUGUUAAUAAUGUAACAAUUUAUAGCUGAUAUAAAGAUUUUAACAUGGUGGCAAUGGAUUUGUAAAUGCCUACAGUUCAGUUUUUUUUUUCCCUUAUUAUUAAUAAUAAUAAUAAUAAUAAUAAUAAUAAUAAUUAUUAUUAUUAUUAUUAUUAUUAUUAUUAUUAUUUUGGCAAACAAGGAAGUUCAUUAACAGAAGGAUGCUUUAUUAUGAAAAUACUGAACUUAAGAGUUCACUGCCCCAACAACAAAAGGCACAAAUAUACACACAUGCACACAAAGGAAUUUAUUCAACUAGUUUUUAAUCAGAAAACCUGUUUCCACCACAAGAUGAAUAUAUGUGUGUGUGUGUGUGUGUGUGUGUGUGUGUGUGUAUGUAAUUGCAACUUUUGAUCUCACAAUUCAGAUAUUUUUUUCUCGCAAUUCUGAGCUUAUAUCUCACAAUUCUGAGCAAUUAUGUGGAAAAAAGUCAGAAUUGUUAAAUAUUAAUGCACAAUUGCCAGAAGAAGAAAAAACAGAACUAUGAAAUCAAGUGUCAGUUUUUGUCUGCCUUUUUUUUUUUAUUCCUUGAUGGAAAAUUAUUAAUAAUAAUAAUACGUAAGCAAAUAAUUCUGAGAUUUAAAAAAAAAACUGCAAGGUGUAAACUUAGAAGUAUGAGAAUAAUUCAUAAUUAAAUAGAAUUCUGCGCUGUAUUGUGAGAAAAAUAUCCCGUGGUGGAAACCGGCUUCUGUAGAAAACCAUUUUAAUUUUAACUAGUUAUAAAUUGGAAUCCAGUUUAUGGAAACAUGGAAUAUGUAGUUACCAAUGCCAGACUCCCACUCACGGGUGGGAAAAAAAUGCGGCAUCGUGAUAUGACAGUUUUGCUUAAAACAAGUGUUCAUUUUAAUCCCAACAUGUACAUGACUUUUCAUGCCACCCUGUGUUGUGCUUCCUGUCUUUGCAAGUUUAAUAAUGAACCAAAUGAGAGAUGUAGUUUUAACAUUCUUAUUUUUGUUAUAUACUGUAUUUCAGACAUUCUUGUGUAUGUGGUGUAUAGGAGCAAAAAAAUGAUUUUAAAUUGCAGAUAUUUAUGUGCUGGUGCUCCACUGUACAGUAGCUUGUAUUCGCAUGUCUAUAGUUAUAUACCUGAAGAUAAUGUACAUAGCGAUGCCAUUUUUGACUACAAGCACCUGACUAACAGCAGUGACGUUUUGAGCAAUGUACCGAGAUGCUUUUGAUGCUUUUCUUUCUUGCACAAGCACAGAGAACUAACACAACUGAAAAGGUUUAGACUAGUGUCUGAAAAUAGACAUUCAGCAUUAGAAAGCAACACAAUAUCAGACAUUUUCCCCCGGCUUGUGUUACUCCGUAUGUUCAUGUGUGUGGACGUUUUAUAUACAUGCACAUGUACAUAUUUUUUAUUUAAAUCAGUGUGAUGUAAUAGGUUACAAGCAUAAGGUCUGUUACUGUAAUACUUUUUUUUUUUUUCGGAAAAAGUAAUCAAAACAUGUUGCUCUAAUCACUGUUAUAGUCAAACUUUUAUGCUUGUACUUCUGCUGUUGUCCAACUGCAGUUAACUAAUAAACUAAAAG
ensembl:lncRNA